CCAGCUCCAAUAGCGUAUAUUAAAGUUGCUGCAGUUAAAAAGCUCGUAGUUGGAUUUCUGGUUUGGUGCGCCUAGCCCGCCACGGUUUCGUGUGUGAGUGUUGGGACGUUCCUGCCAUCCUUCUAGUUCCUUGUCUUGCCCCUCACGGGGUGGAGGCAGUGGGCUAGAUCUUUUACUUUGAAAAAAUUAGAGUGUUUCAAGCAGGCAUUUGUUGCUAUGAAUACAUUAGCAUGGAAUAAUCAUGUAGGACUUCGGUCUUAUUUUGUUGGUGUUUCUAAGGCUGAAGUAAUGAUUGAUAGGGAUAGUUGGGGGUGCUAGUAUUCAGUGGCCAGAGGUGAAAUUCUCGGAUUCACUGAAGACUAACUUAUGCGAAAGCAUUCACCAAGGAUGUCUUCU
rnacentral:rRNA from 1 species